CCCCCUAAGAAGUUAAUAUGUACAAGCAUUUCUAUGACCAUGCUAACGGCAAGGCCAGCCAAAAAGUGUCGCAUCUCGCCUCCACCACAUCCGCACUCAGCAGAUCUACACGUUAUGGCCCUGAAAAUGUUUAACCAUAACAGGGUGAGAUAAAUCUCGGUGAGUUAAAUCCCUAAGCCUCGACUAGGAUACAAGUUUGCCUUGGAGGAAGCCUAAACAGGCACCACAAACAACUUACCUUGCAUUGGUGCACCCCUUGCAUAUUAGCACGUCACAUAUGCCAUUAUCAAUACCAUAAGCAUAAACAAUAAUCAAAACACAUACUUCUCAUUCUCCAAGCAUUCAGACAAAUCCUGAUUAUAAGGUAAACCCAUUUUGGCACGUUCCAUACCAUGCCUAAUAGUUUUACCUCAUAAUCAAGCGCAAUGUAUCCCAAUCAUUCACACGUGUUCCGAUUAUUAUGACCCCUCAGGCCACGGCCAACACAAGAGUCGGCAGUCUUCCGACAUAACCGGGCAUCGUCCCAUCCCAUCGGGCACGGCAUUAUCCCACGUAUGCAUACACCUCAGGAUAGUAUUCCAAUAAGGAGCAUCGGUCCGGCCUCAACCACGACUCGACUUCUGGACCCCCGCCGAGUAUCCGAUAAAAUCGGGAAUCGUUCCCAAACUCCCAUUGGGUGACGGGUUCGAUUAAGUGACCACACGAGCAUACCAUCAAUCAAACCAACUUUUAUUGCCGUUGUUUAGCCAAGAACACAACACUUCAUUUUUAAAUGGUAAACUUGGGCCACCCUUUUUUUUUCUUUAAAACUCUCCGAAAUAAAUUCAUACAUGGUAUGUAUUCAAAAUCAACCCGUCAAACUUUACACACUUCUACUUUAAAACCUCAUUGUUUUAUUGAGCACAUAAAAUUUGGCGUCCGGACGCGACACCUUUUUUUUUUUUUUUUUCUAUUUUCUUGCCCAAUCCCUUUUUUUUUUCUUUAAAACUUUUGGAAAGAAAUUUGUACGUGCUCCCAUACUCAAAAUUAACCCAUCAAACUUGCAUGCACCUAGUUUGAAACCCUAUUGUUUUGUUGGGCACAUAAAAUUUGGUGUCCAAACCCAAUACCUUUUUUUUUUCCAUUUAAUUGCCCAUAAAACAAUAUUUUGUAAUAAAAAUCGGAACCUACCAUAAACAAUCAAACUCAUAAUAUCACACGUACAAACACUCAAAAACACACAUAAUUCCAUCCAAGAAAAUGAGCGUAAAAUUCUAUGUAAUGACUAAUCCGUCACUAAUUACGCUAAUUACGAUUAAUUAAAUAAAUAACGAUUACAUUAAGUAAAUUAUGAUUAAUUAAACUAAACCUAAUUAAGUAAUCUAACUAUGAUUAAUUAACCUAAUGGUAAUUACUUAGGCUAAUCACAAUUAAAUUAAUCUAAACCAUUCUUAAUAUAAAUUAAACUAAACCAAGCUUAGUUAACACUAAACACUAUUAGUGCUAAUCUAACCACCAACUAAACGCAAUUAACAGCCUAAUCAACGAUUAGAGAGUUAACUCAUGAGUUUUUGACAACGGUGGGCUCACGGCGACGGCAACACGACAGCAUCAAGGACGUGCCACUCGGGGAUCGAAUGGGGCUUAACGGCGGCUGCGGUGGACCUUCCAAGCUCUCGGCCAAGGUGGGGCUUGGCUUGGCUUGGGCGGGCAGCAGCUCGGCUGGACGCAGAGGAGUUGACCGAAGUGGUGGCUGGCUGUAGGCAGGUUGCGGUGGUGUGGCAGCAAUGAGGUCGGGACGUGGAGGUGAGGACGGCUGUUUGGCAUUGGCGCGAACGCUGAGGUCUUGCGGGUGUGGAGCUGCGGUGCGGGGAGGCUGGACGUGAGAUGAAGCCGCUGGUGGUGAUGUCGUGAGGUGGUGUUGGACGUUGGGUGGUGCUAUGGUGGAGUGGUGGUGGAGGUGUGCGGUGGAGUUGGCGUUGGGGUGGUGGGUGGUAGCGUGAUGAUGGUGUUUGUUGGCGUGUGGUGGUAGCUGGAGUGUGGGGGUAGCUGCAAGGUGAAAGAAAAUGGAGAUAAGAGGGAGAAGUUGAGAGGAAAUGAAAGAAGGGGCUGGCUGGAUGAAAGGAAAUG
rnacentral:lncRNA from 1 species